GGCUUCGGGGAUGGCGCUAGACCUGCAACCGCAUUCACUCGAUCUACGACUUCGAAGACAUCAACUGAGGGAAGAACGAAAACGGAUUCCUUAUUUGCUAAAGUGUAAUAUAAAUAGGGGAGUUAAAGAGUAUCAAGACUAAGCCAAUGCUCCUUCCACGACUAAGACAGACACGAACCGGGCCACUAGGGGUUCUUACACGAGAAUGGAUUACCUGAAGGCCGACUAGUUGCAUUAGUCAAACCUACACGCUACCUCUCCGCUUCCUCAUGGAAGAAAAGAAGGAAUAGCAAAUUAGGCAAUUACCGAUUCGCAAGUCAGGUACAGGUUGAACUGCUAAUAGAAGGCUUGCACGAGGAGAGAGCUAGUAGGUUUGACUAGGGGAAUGUGGCAAAGGCUGCUGCUUCAUCAAGGAAGCGAUAAGAGGAAGCUAGCUACCUUGAUGAGGGGCAAAGAGAAAAAAGCCCUCGCUUCAACGAAUAUGCGGAGGGAUAAGUUAGCCUACUACUAGGGGGUUACCUGCGGGACUAGCGAUAGGAUUUAUGCCCAGCGGGGCCGGUUACACUGAGACACUACUUCGAAUCCUUACGGGAUGAAGAGCUAACGGAAUGAUUACCGAAUCGACUUAUAUACGUAAUGCAAAGCGGGCAGAGAAGCUUAGACCGCUGAAGGAAAUUAUAGAGUAGGGAAGACAGUAAACUUAAUCAACUCCCUAUACGAAAGAAAUGAAAGAAUGCGGGAAAGAAAAGAGUAGUAAAAUAAACUUAAAGGAGGGUAAUGCGCCAGGCAAGAAGCCGCUUACCAAACAAGAAGAAGAUCGAUAAGGGUUCACCCAACGGAAACCCGCGCUACAACCCAACCAGAAGAAUCCAUUACAAGACUUCAAAGACUAGCCGGAAACCCAUACUCUCGCUUAGACGGGCAUACGGAAUCAGUCUCGUUAAUUGGGAAUUUAUCUCUUCACGCGAAUCCCUUCUUUUUUUAGAAGAGUCGCCCUUAAUACCUGAUAUGCAUCCCUUGUUGCUUGCUUUGCUUUGGGCUCAUCCCGUGCUUGGUAUCUUAGAUAGAUAUGCGAUAUCACGUUCGAUGUGCUCUUUCUUUAUGAAAGAUCUCUCCUCCCGUUAAGCACUCGGGUACAGGUAGACAGAGGAGUUAGAGGUUAUGUAAUUCGCUAUAUGUCCUUUUCUAUCAGUACGAUUCCCGUCCUUUGUCGGAAAGGGUGUCCACUCUUGCAACAGUCGUAAUCGGUCUUUAAAGUAUUCAGGACUCGGGC